CAUCCUCGGACCGCCAGANAGAUCUGGUUUCCACUUCGGUGCGCCGAGUGACAGGUGGCUGCAUGGCNGUCGUCAGCUCGUNUCGUGANAUGUUCGGUUAAGUCNGGCAACGAGCGCAACCCACAUCCUUAGUUGCCAGCAGUUCGGCUGGGCACUCUAGGGAAACUGCCCGUGAUAANCGGGAGGAAGGUGUGGAUGACGUCAAGUCCUCAUGGCCCUUACGGGUUGGGCUACACACGUGCUACAAUGGCAUNUACAGUGAGUUAAUCUCCAAAAGAUGUCUCAGUUCGGAUUGGGGUCUGCAACUCGACCCCAUGAAGUCGGAAUCGCUAGUAAUCGCGUAACAGCAUGACGCGGUGAAUACGUUGCCCGGGCCUUGUACACACCGCCCGUCACACCA
rnacentral:rRNA from 1 species